AGCAGCCGCGGUAAUUCCAGCUCCAAUAGCGUAUAUUAAAGUUGUUGCAGUUAAAAAGCUCGUAGUUGAAUUUCGGGAUCAGCAGGUUGGUCGUGCCAAUGGUAUGCACUGGCCUUGCUGAUUCCUCCCUCUUGAUGAGCCGUAAUGCCAUUAAUUUGGUGUUGCGGGGAAUCAGGACUGUUACUUUGAAAAAAUUAGAGUGUUUAAAGCAGGCAAGCGCUUGAAUACAUUAGCAUGGAAUAAUGAAAUAGGACGUUUGAUCCUAUUUUGUUGGUUUCUAGGAUUGACGUAAUGAUUAAUAGGGAUAGUUGGGGGCAUUAGUAUUCAAUUGUCAGAGGUGAAAUUCUUGGAUUUAUUGAAGACUAACUACUGCGAAAGCAUUUGCCAAGGAUGUUUUCAUUAAUCAAGAACGAAAGUUAGGGGAUCGAAGACGAUCAGAUACCGUCGUAGUCUUAACCAUAAACUAUGCCGACUAGGGAUCGGAUGAUGUAAUUUUUAAUGACUCAUUC
rnacentral:sRNA from 1 species